rnacentral:rRNA from 1 species
UACGAAGGGGGCUAGCGUUGCUCGGAAUCACUGGGCGCAAAGCGCACGUAGGCGGAUUGUUAAGUCAGGGGUGAAAUCCUGGAGCUCAACUCCAGAACUGCCUUUGAUACUGACGAUCUCGAGUCCGGGAGAGGUGAGUGGAACUGCGAGUGUAGAGGUGAAAUUCGUAGAUAUUCGCAAGAACACCAGUGGCGAAGGCGGCUCACUGGCCCGGUACUGACGCUGAGGUGCGAAAGCGUGGGGAGCAAACAGGG